rnacentral:rRNA from 1 species
UACGGAGGGUGCAAGCGUUAUCCGGAUUCACUGGGUUUAAAGGGUGCGUAGGUGGGCAGGUAAGUCAGCGGUGAAAUCUCCGAGCUUAACUCGGAAACUGCCAUUGAUACUAUCUGUCUUGAAUAUCCUGGAGGUGAGCGGAAUAUGUCAUGUAGCGGUGAAAUGCUUAGAUAUGACAUAGAACACCAAUUGCGAAGGCAGCUCACUACGGGAUCAUUGACACUGAGGCACGAAAGCGUGGGGAUCAAACAGG